rnacentral:rRNA from 1 species
CCUACGGGUGGCAGCAGUGAGGAAUAUUGGUCAAUGGGCGCGAGCCUGACCCAGCCAAGUAGCGUGAAGGAUGACUGCCCUACGGGUUGUAAACUUCUUUUAUAAAGGAAUAAAGUGCGGCACGUGUGCCUUUUUGUAUGUACUUUAUGAAUAAGGAUCGGCUAACUCCGUGCCAGCAGCCGCGGUAAUACGGAGGAUCCGAGCGUUAUCCGGAUUUAUUGGGUGUAAAGGGAGCGUAGAUGGGUUGUUAAGUCAGUUGUGAAAGUGUGCGGCUCAACCGUAAAAUUGCAAUUGAUACUGGCAGUCUUGAGUACAGUUGAGGUAGGCGGAAUUCGUGGUGUAGCGGUGAAAUGCGUAGAUAUCACGAAGAACAUCGAUGGCGAAAGCAGCUUACUAAACUGCCACUGACAUUGAUGCUCGAAAGUGUGGGUAUCAAACAGGAUUAGAUACCCGAGUAGUC